CGGUGGUUAUGGCGGCAGGGCUACACCCGAUCCCAUCUCGAACUCGGAAGUUAAGCCUGCCUGCGCCGAUGGUACUGCAGGUCUUUCCUGUGGGAGAGUAGGUCGCUGCCG
rnacentral:rRNA from 1 species